AUGUACAGACUAAGUUUGUCCUGUUAAAGUAGGACUUAUUUUACCUAACAUUUAUUAUUGGGGAGUUUUAUUUUUUUUAUACGAUUAUUGUGACAACUGCAACCUUAAUAUGGGAGGUAUUAAAUCUAAAUUUCCAGUGAAAAAGAGCAUUUAUAAUACAAGAAGACCAAAUGAAACUGUCCGGUUUGCUGGAUAUCUUCAGGAA